rnacentral:rRNA from 1 species
CAGCAGCCGCGGGAAUACAGAGGGUGCAAGCGUUAAUCGGAAUUACUGGGCGUAAAGCGCGCGUAGGUGGUUUGUUAAGUUGGAUGUGAAAGCCCCGGGCUCAACCUGGGAACUGCAUCCAAAACUGGCAAGCUAGAGUACGGUAGAGGGUGGUGGAAUUUCCUGUGUAGCGGUGAAAUGCGUAGAUAUAGGAAGGAACACCAGUGGCGAAGGCGACCACCUGGACUGAUACUGACACUGAGGUGCGAAAGCGUGGGGAGCAAACAGGAUUAGAUACCCCGGUAGUCCCUGUCUCUUAUAC